GCAGAAGCGCGGUCUGUCGCUUCAUGCCGGGCGCAUGAAGAGGAAAGUCCGGGCAACACAGAGCACCAUAUUUGUUAACGGCAAGCCGGCGGCGACGUCGGGGUUAAUGUGACAGAAAAGAACCGCCGGAAACUCCUAAAGGCUUCCGGCAAGGGUGAAAAGGUGGGGUAAGAGCCCACCGGGUGUCGUGGCGACACGACAUGCCGCACAACCUAUGGGUUGCAAGGCCAAAUACACCGGCAAUCAAGGGCUGCUCGUCCAUUGCCGGGGGGUAGGCUGCUCGGCGCAUAGCGCCGGAGCCGGCUGGCAACAGCCGGUCAAGAUAAAUGACAGGCAUGGAUCUCGUGCCCUAUGCAAGGGAUUCAUACAUAACCCGGCUUACAACGCAUCUGCAAAA
rnacentral:RNase_P_RNA from 1 species